rnacentral:rRNA from 1 species
UGAGGAAUAUUGGGUCAAUGGACGGGAGUCUGAACCAGCCAAGUAGCGUGCAGGACGACGGCCCUAUGGGUUGUAAACUGCUUUUAUAGGGGGAUAAAGUGUGCCACGUGUGGCAUAUUGCAGGUACCCUAUGAAUAAGGACCGGCUAAUUCCGUGCCAGCAGCCGCGGUAAUACGGAAGGUCCGGGCGUUAUCCGGAUUUAUUGGGUUUAAAGGGAGCGUAGGCCGUCUUAUAAGCGUGUUGUGAAAUGUCGGGGCUCAACCUGGGCAUUGCAGCGCGAACUGUGAGACUUGAGUGCGCAGGAAGUAGGCGGAAUUCGUCGUGUAGCGGUGAAAUGCUUAGAUAUGACGAAGAACUCCGAUUG